AGUCCUUGCUUUUAUUUUGAUAGGUUUCUACUUCCCGUUUUAGUUCCCUUGAUAGGAUUCUCAGCUGGAGCUGGUUUUUAAUCAACUUUUUGUUAACAAAAGAUUUUAAUUUGAUCCUCACGAGUCUGGUGUGGCACAUUUGAGUCCAUCUGCUUCUGCUGUUACAUAUUUUUAUUUUGGUAUGUUUCUACUUUUGUUACUAUUACUUUUGAUUGUUUUGUAACUGGUGAUGCACAUUUGAGUCCACCUGUUCGUGCUGUUGCUGCUUAUAUUUUGGUUUCUACUUCCAUUUUCUGUUGUCUGGAUAGGAUUCAGCUAUGUUGACCAGUUUUUUUUUUUUUUUUAUUAAACUAACAAAGGACUUGGAUCUUCCGCAGCUCUCAUAUGGUUAUUUUGGCGCUGAUGUGCUGCUUACUUGUAGAAGAGCACGUAAGCCUCAGCAUUCUGGACGCAAGACUCUGACACCUCAGUCACGCUUUGGUCAUCAAACUCAUACCAAAGAUUGUUGAUGUCAUUCCUGCAGUAGGCAAUGUAGUGGCCACCUGCAGAAGCGAGAAGAGAUGACUGACAGCAGGUCGUAGUUGGCAGUCUGCGCUGAGCUGUCCUUGGCCAGGAAGGGCUGCAGGUCCAAGCCCUCCAGCGGGAAGGAGACGUGUGUGCCAAUCUUGGUGGAGAACAUCAGCUCGUGUCUGAAGCGCUUCAGGGUGCACAUUUCGCCAGACUUGAGAUAAGCUCGUCCCUGGCAAAAAAGGCUGCAAGACAAUCUUGUAGCAUGACCACAGGACCCCAGAACCAGCUGAAAAUAGGAGGGGACACAAGAUGGAUGAAACCUGCUUUGCUUGAGCCAGCUUUAACCAGGGACGUCUGGUGGGUGGCCGAGUGCAGCUUGGCCAAGUCUUCCUUCCCCGGGAUGGGCAAGGAGAUGUCCUGGAAGUUCUCUAGCGUGACCGACACCUAAAAACACAAAUGGUCAACGUGUUGUUGAGCAUGCUGACGUGUGUUAGGGUGACCCAAUCCCCCCCCUCUCGCCCAAUACUGACCCGAUCGCAAGUGAGGCACUGCACGGAGCUCACAAUGGUCCCGUCGAACACGUCCGAGAUAACGCUGCGGUACCUCUUCUGACACUUGCUCUUGGCUGGGGAGAAUGUGCUCAU